UACGUAGGGGGCAAGCGUUGUCCGGAUUUAUUGGGCGUAAAGCGCUCGCAGGCGGCCUGGCCAAGUCGUGCGUGAAAUCUCCCGGCUCAACUGGGAGCGGUCGUGCGAUACUGGUCGGCUCGAGGCCGGUAGGGGGGAGUGGAAUUCCGGGUGUAGUGGUGGAAUGCGUAGAUAUCCGGAGGAACACCAGUGGCGAAGGCGGCUCCCUGGACCGGUCCUGACGCUCAGGAGCGAAAGCGUGGGUAGCGAUCCGGAUUAGAUACCCGGGUAGUCCACGCCGUAAACGAUGAGCACUAGGUGUCGGGGGUAUCGACCCCCCCGGUGCCGCAGCUAACGCAAUAAGUGCUCCGCCUGGGGACUACGGCCGCAAGGCUAAA
rnacentral:rRNA from 1 species